rnacentral:rRNA from 1 species
UACGAGGGGGGCUAGUGUUGUUCGGAAUCACUGGGCGUAAAGGGAGCGUAGGCGGGCGUUUAAGUUAGGUGUUUAAUCCCGGGGCCCAACCCCGGACCGGCACCUAAAACUGGACGUCUUGAAUAGUGGAGAGGUCGGUGGAAUCGGAGGUGUAGCGGUGGAAUGCGUAGAGAUCUCCAAGAACACCCGUUGCGAAGGCGGCCGACUGGACACAUAUUGACGCUGAGGCUCGAAAGCAUGGGGAGCAAACAGG